rnacentral:rRNA from 1 species
CCUACGGGUGGCAGCAGUAGGGAAUAUUGCUCAAUGGGGGAAACCCUGAAGCAGCAACGCCGCGUGGAGGAUGACACUUUUCGGAGCGUAAACUCCUUUUCUUGGGAAAGAAUUAUGACGGUACCCAAGGAAUAAGCACCGGCUAACUCCGUGCCAGCAGCCGCGGUAAUACGGAGGGUGCAAGCGUUACUCGGAAUCACUGGGCGUAAAGGACGCGUAGGCGGAUUAUCAAGUCUCUUGUGAAAUCUAACGGCUUAACCGUUAAACUGCUUGGGAAACUGAUAAUCUAGAGUAAGGGAGAGGCAGAUGGAAUUCUUGGUGUAGGGGUAAAAUCCGUAGAGAUCAAGAAGAAUACCCAUUGCGAAAGCGAUCUGCUGGAACUUAACUGACGCUAAUGCGUGAAAGCGUGGGGAGCAAACAGGAUUAGAUACCCGGGUAGUC